rnacentral:rRNA from 1 species
GUUGAACGCUGGCGGAAUGCUUUACACAUGCAAGUCGAGCGGCAGCGCGGGGCAACCUGGCGGCGAGCGGCGAACGGGUGAGUAAUGCAUCGGAACAUGUCCAAGUCGUGGGGGAUAGCCCGGCGAAAGCCGGAUUAAUACCGCAUACGCUCGAGAAGGGGAAAGUGGGGGACCGCAAGGCCUCACGCGAUUGGGUUGGCCGAUGUCCGAUUAGCUAGUUGGCGGGGUAAGAGCCCACCAAGGCGAUGAUCGGUAGCUGGUCUGAGAGGAUGAUCAGCCACACUGGGACUGAGACACGGCCCAGACUCCUACGGGAGGCAGCAGUGGGGUAAUUUUGGACAAGUGGGGGCAACCCUGAUCCA